rnacentral:lncRNA from 1 species
CCCAAUCCACAGACUACAAAUGUCGGUGAUGUUUGUGUCCAGUAUGAAGGAAGUUAAAGUUAGUUGUUGGUGACCUGCAGCGAUACAGACGAAGAGUACCUGCUGUCCCGAAGGCUUCUGCCCUACGACCUUGGCUACGGUGCUAACAGUCAGAGUGAAGCAGAGACAGAUCAGACUCCAGAUCAUGUUGUAGUUGAGGGAAGCAGCACAACGGACAAAGAACCGACCAGAUUCUCCACAGAGGAGUUUCCCGUUUCAACUACCGACAAGCGUGUCCUUUACAGGAUCUAUAAAGAGGAAACCAACGAGCAGAGAACAAUCCUCAGAAUCGUAAAUGCUCUUACCACUCUGGAGGACUUCAAGAGACUAUCCCUUUGGUGUCUGAGGGUGUGAGUACAAUUCUAAUACAUGUGAUGUCUUGCUCAACAUGUGGCAGUAACUUACAGUAACUGGUAACACUAGUAUUACUGUGUUGAUUUCACAAUUUGAUGCUCACUGUCUUCUAAUUAUCUACAGUCUAUACACCAGGUUAGCCCAGCUAGUAGCAGACGCCAGGUUAGCCCAGCUAAUAGCAGACGCCAGGUUAGCCCAGCUAAUAGCAGACGCCAGGUUAGCCCAGCUAAUAGCAGACGCCAGGUUAGCCCAGCUAGUAGCAGACGCCAGGUUAGCCCAUCUAGUAGCAGACGCCAGGUUAGCCCAGCUAGUAGCAGACGCCAGGUUAGCCCAGCUAAUAGCAGAAAUGGAGACCAAUGAUGUAAGUAUACAAAUGUAGUAAUUAAUGUUAUGUCUGUAACAGAAACAUCUCCCCUCGUACACAUUGUAUUAACAGUGUGACUUUAUUUCUCUCAAUAGGUGAAAGCUCUUGUCGUGUGUCAUAUCCUAGACUAACAGCAGACAUGUCCAUGAACGUGUCCUGUCUUGUUACCUGACGGUAUGGUUUUUUAAAUAUUUAUUUUAACUAGGCAAGUCAGUUAAGAACAAAUUAUUAUUUUCAAUGACAG